AACGAACGCUGGCGGCAUGCCUAACACAUGCAAGUCGAACGAUCCCUUCGGGGAUAGUGGCGCACGGGUGCGUAACGCGUGGGAACCUGCCCUUAGGUUCGGAAUAACUCAGAGAAAUUUGAGCUAAUACCGGAUAAUGUCUUCGGACCAAAGAUUUAUCGCCUUUGGAUGGGCCCGCGUUGGAUUAGCUAGUUGGUGGGGUAAAGGCCUACCAAGGCGACGAUCCAUAGCUGGUCUGAGAGGAUGAUCAGCCACACUGGGAUUGAGACACGGCCCAGACUCCUACGGGAGGCAGCAGUGGGGAAUAUUGGACAAUGGGCGAAAGCCUGAUCCAGCAAUGCCGCGUGAGUGAUGAAGGCCUUAGGGUUGUAAAGCUCUUUUACCCGGGAUGAUAAUGACAGUACCGGGAGAAUAAGCCCCGGCUAACUCCGUG
rnacentral:rRNA from 1 species